rnacentral:rRNA from 1 species
AUUGAACGCUGGCGGCAGGCUUAACACAUGCAAGUCGAGCGGGGGAGGUAGCUUGCUACUGAUCUUAGCGGCGGACGGGGGAGUAAUGCUUAGGUAUCUGCCUAUUAGUGGGGGACAAACUUUCGAAAGGAAUGCUAAUACCGCAUACGUCCUAAGGGAGAAAGCAGGGGAUCUUCGGACCUUGCGCUAAUAGAUUAGCCUAAGGCGGAUUAGCUAGUUGGUGGGGUAAAGGACUACCAAGGCGACGAUCUGUAGCGGGUCUGAGAGGAUGAUCCGCCACACUGGGACUGAGACACGGCCCAGACUCCUACGGGAGGCAGCAGUGGGGAAUAUUGGACAAUGGGCGGAAGCCUGAUCCAGCCAUGCCGCGUGUGUGAAGAAGGCCUUAUGGUUGUAAAGCACUUUAAGCGAGGAGGAGGCUACUUUAGUUAAUACCUAGAGAUAGUGGACGUUACUCGCAGAAUAAGCACCGGCUAACUCUGUGCCAGCCGCCGCAGUAA